rnacentral:rRNA from 1 species
GAUGAACGCUGGCGGCGUGCCUAAUACAUGCAAGUCGAGCGAACAGACGAGGAGCUUGCUCCUCUGACGUUAGCGGCGGACGGGUGAGUAACACGUGGCUAACCUACCUAUAAGACUGGGAUAACUUCGGGAAACCGGAGCUAAUACCGGAUAAUAUAUUAAACCGCAUGGUUCAAUAGUGAAAGACGGUUUUGCUGUCACUUAUAGAUGGAUCCGCGCCGCAUUAGCUAGUUGGUAAGGUAACGGCUUACCAAGGCAACGAUGCGUAGCCGACCUGAGAGGGUGAUCGGCCACACUGGAACUGAGACACGGUCCAGACUCCUACGGGAGGCAGCAGUAGGGAAUCUUCCGCAAUGGGCGAAAGCCUGACGGAGCAACGCCGCGUGAGUGAUGAAGGUCUUCGGAUCGUAAAACUCUGUUAUUAGGGAAGAACAAAUGUGUAAGUAACUAUGCACGUCUUGACGGUACCUAAUCAGAAAUCCACGGCUAACUACGUG